GAUGCUGUAAAGCGCUUUGAGACAAUGUAAUAAUGUGAGAACGUGCUAUACAAAUAAAUUGAAUUGAACUGAAUAUCAAAAAAGGACCUUGAAUGACCUGAAGAUUUCUCAACCCACAUUGUGCCGCAAAGUGUUCAUUCCCAGUCAAAAUGCCACAUUUACUGAUUCAGCUUGAACACAUUAGACAUUUGUGGUAGUCGGUACAAGCAACAAUUAAACGAUCAGAUGACUUUGUGCACUUGAGGUGAAACCACUGCCUACAAAUGACACAAGAUGUACUCUGUACUGUGGAUCAGCCUUACUGUCACACCCCGCAUAUCACAAUUUAAAGCCUUCUGAGCUGCACAAACCUGUAAAACAGGGGCAAAGUUUGAAAGUGCAGCCGUCUGAUAAUUAAAUGUGGGCAAACACAGAACAGAGUCCAACACUUUAGCUUGACGUAUGUAGCCUGUGAUGGGCCCUCAAUAGCUUCCCCACUGAGCCAGAAACACGGAUAAGAUUCUGCAUUGCAAGAGGCCCCAGCAUCAGUUAUCUGGUCUAGAUCGGCACAAAAAUGGAGGGAGCUGCUUCUGAAAUGACCCCCCCUGUGGAGUGUAAAACAAAGAGAUCUGAGAGUGUCCUGAUGGAGAGAGCAGGCUCACCUGUACCCAGCUGUGUUUCCAUGAAGAGUGACAGGUCAAUGGACCCACCAAUCUUAUUCAGAGAUGGACGUUUUCCUACAGAUCAAAGGGACCGAGUAAAUAGAUGUAAUUUACAUCCACAUAAAGCAGGCUUAUCAUCCAUCUUCAAGGUUUGCAUUUAUUAAGUAUAUUUUCUUAAAUUUUAUCUAAAUUGACAUAUAUCUUCUACAGAUAUACAGUAAGUAGUUUGUCCUGUGAAAGAGAAGAUAUUUACAACUAAUGCUGCGUUCCAUUUA